AUUGAACGCUGGCGGCAUGCUUUACACAUGCAAGUCGAACGGCAGCGCGGGGCAACCUGGCGGCGAGUGGCGAACGGGUGAGUAAUAUAUCGGAACGUACCCAAGAGUGGGGGAUAACGUAGCGAAAGUUACGCUAAUACCGCAUACGAUCUAAGGAUGAAAGUGGGGGAUCGCAAGACCUCAUGCUCCUGGAGCGGCCGAUAUCUGAUUAGCUAGUUGGUGAGGUAAAGGCUCACCAAGGCGACGAUCAGUAGCUGGUCUGAGAGGACGACCAGCCACACUGGAACUGAGACACGGUCCAGACUCCUACGGGAGGCAGCAGUGGGGAAUUUUGGACAAAGGGCGCAAGCCUGAUCCAGCAAUGCCGCGUGAGUGAAGAAGGCCUUCGGGUUGUAAAGCUCUUUUGUCAGGGAAGAAACGGUAGAGGCUAAUAUCCUUUGCUAAUGACGGUACCUGAAGAAUAAGCACCGGCUAACUACGUG
rnacentral:rRNA from 1 species